rnacentral:ncRNA from 1 species
GUGUUAUCAAGAAAGGCGGAGGGAUUAGACCCGACGAAGCCUUAGCAACCCUCUAGCAAUAGUGAAGGUGCUAAAUUCUACUUAAUUGCUGAUUCAUUUAUCAGACAAUUGGAUAGAUAACUA